rnacentral:rRNA from 1 species
UACGGGGGGGGCAAGCGUUGUUCGGAAUUACUGGGCGUAAAGGGCUUGUAGGUGGCCAACUAAGUCAGACGUGAAAUCCCUCGGCUUAACCGGGGAACUGCGUCUGAUACUGGAUGGCUCGAGUGUGGGAGAGGGAUGCGGAAUUCCAGGUGUAGCGGUGAAAUGCGUAGAUAUCUGGAGGAACAUCGGUGGCGAAGGCGGCGACCUGGGUCGAGACUGACGCUGAGGCGCGAAAGCGUGGGGAGCAAACAGG